UUUGCCUACGGGGGGCAGCAAUGGGGAAUAUUGCACAAUGGGGGGAACCCUGAUGCAGCGACGCCGCGUGAGUGAAGAAGUAUUUCGGUAUGUAAAGCUCUAUCAGCAGGGAAGAAAAUGACGGUACCUGACUAAGAAGCCCCGGCUAACUACGUGCCAGCAGCCGCGGUAAUACGUAGGGGGCAAGCGUUAUCCGGAUUUACUGGGUGUAACGGGAGCGUAGACGGCGCUGCAAGUCCGGAGUGAAAGUCCAUGG
rnacentral:rRNA from 1 species